GCAGUUCUACAGAUUGAACCCAAGGCGUCUAGCAUGCUAGCAAGUGGUUCUACCACUGCACUACAAACCCCAGCCCCUUUCCAUUAUUUAAACAUUUUUGAGACAGUGUGAGUUGCUCAGGCUGACCUUUCUGCCUCAGCCUCUCCAACAGCUGGAACUUAGGCGAGGGCCACCACACUCAGCUCAGAUGACAGUUUAACUGAACAUUCUACUUGUGUGCCCUGGGCUAAUCUGUAGUCCUUUUGGCCACCUGGGCUCGGGACAUCCAGCUAGGAGCCCAGGCAAUCUGAAGGAUGGGGGUUGUUCAAGGGUCAGACGGGAGGGUGACUGAGAGCCUCAAAUCCAUGCAGGCUCCCAGUAUCUGGCAUGACCAAGGGCCAGUGGGGCUCUGGGGCUCUCAGGUGUCUGGAAUCUCUUAGUCAAGAGCAAACCCAACACUAGACAUGUGAGGGUGGGUUCAUGUGAGAACAGCUGCUGGAGACUUCCUAGUGGGCCUCUGAGGGCAGGGGCUGCUUCUCGCAUAGUACCACCCAGAGGAGCCUGGGGCCCCAGAGCCCUCCACAAGGUGUCCUCACCUUCUUCCAGGCAGGGCUCGAAGGAGACCACCCAGGGCUACUGGAGCUGCUGAAUUGCUGAGCAUUUCCUGGAACACCUGCCUUUCCUGCAAUUUCCUGGGGCUUGGAGGGUGGUACCUGGGGUUGUGGAAAUCUGAACCCCUCCCAGAACAAGAAUAUUGGGAGGAGGAUGAGGGGAUUGCAGGAAGCAAAUGCUUCUGUACCUCAAGACCUCCAAGGGGACCUCAGUCUCCAGAACUCAGGAUUGCUUUGUAAACAGCAGCACAAACCCGUUCUGAUAGUGGUUCUGCACCAAUGCGUGGCGGCUGCCUGGCACAGCGUGUGGCCGAGACAAGCCCCUGCACCUGUCACCAGGGCCAAGAGGGCCAGGAGGGAGACCGCCUGCACAUGCAGGGGAGCCCAGAGUGGUGACAAGGUCACUGUAUCCCUUCCUGCAGCUCUGAGCUCCUCCCUGAAGGCACCGAGGAAAGACUGCCCUGGGUCCAGAAUCCCAGGCCCUGUCAGCUGCAGAACCCACUUGGUGGUGACUGUGAUCAGAGUGGCAGAAUUGCACUGCUCUCCCUCCACUCCGCCAUAAAAGCUACAAGUCUGUCAUUGGAAGAGGGGCCACUUGUGUGCUGAGUAGGGUCACCAAAAGCCUUAGUGGGCUCUGGCCUGCCAAGCUCUGGGGGCUGCAGGUUCGGUGGGGCUGGGCCUAAAGCUGCGGGGCAUCCAACUCCCUGCCCACUGUGCAAGGCACUGAGUCCGAUGGUUUCGGAGCAGGGAGGAGGCCCGAUGGGGAAAUGGUCUGUGGAGUAAAACAGUGUCUGGGGAGCAAGUGGGCACAACCUGGCAGCCCAGGCUUUGAAGAGGGAGUUCAGGGUGGUGCAGGUGACCAGUGUCCAGCUGGCAUUGUGCUAAGCGGUCUGCCUGCAUUCUCCUACUGAUUUCUCACCUACCAUCCACUUUGCAAAGGAGGAAACAGGUUCAUAAAGUUCCGGUGGUGCCCAAGAUCACAUAGUGGGGAGGUGUAAAUGACAGCUGUGGGCUUCAAGUGCUCUUCCACCAGACCCAGACCCAGCUCAGGUGCUCCAGAAUUCCCCCUUCCAUUUCUUCCCCUCCCAGCAUCUGAGCAGACCCAAGGGUUCUCUUCCCCAGGGCCUGGUCUGUUUCACCCCCUUUAACCCAACUCUGCUUUUGCUUCUGUGUCCCGCCCAUAUUCCUCCCCUCUACCAAGAAAGAAGGAAAGGUAGGAAGGCAGGAAGGCAGGAAGGCAGGAAGGCAGGCAAGACAGGCAGGUGCCCUACUCUUUCCACCCCAGCCUGGGCCCUGGGAGCUCCUGGGCCCCUCUGCCCCCCCACACCCCCACUCCACUGGCUUGGAAGUUGUUCCCCCAGGCCGGGAGGCAGAGCUGUCCGCACCCUGAAGACCACAGCGCCCCCAGUCUGGAGCCUAGGCAGCUGCAGGUGCUGCCUCCACGUGCGCCCUGGACGCGAAGUUGGGUUCCACAGAUCUAGUUUCUGUCAUUGGCGAAAAGUCGGGGAAAGUGGAGUCGCAGGCGCUUAUGAUUUAAAAUGUCAUUUAAUUAUUUUAAAUGCUUGCCAAAACAAAGGAAGAAAACACACCCACCAACAAACCUCGAACUUGUUGAGCAAGGUUCUAAGGUCCCAGAACCUUUCCAGCCCGCCUCAGUGGUGAACAACUGCAAUCCCAGAAACCAGGGAGCCUGAGACAGAGAGAGCGCAACUUCGAGACCAGCCUAGGCUAUUUAGCCCAGAAUAUGACAUAAAACGGGCUCAAAAUAUGACAUGAAAAGGGCUGGAGAUGUAGCUCAGGGAGACAGCCUUGCAUUCAAUCCUCCAGUACAGUAAGGGAGAAGAAAAGUUUUCCAUCUACUACGGAAUGGCCACUAAGAUCAAAGCACCGUAGGUUAGAGACGAAUAACACACUGAAGCUUGUGGGGGCUACACGGAGGGUCAACCCCACUGUUUCCACGCACAGCGCCCGGGCAAGUUCCUGGGCAGAAGCGCAAGCGCAGGACUGGGAAGAGGAGAUUCUAGAGUUGAGGACGCGUCUUCGCUCUGACGCGCAGACCUGACCUCUUACACACAUUUGCCUGACCUGCCAGGGAGGACGACCUGAAACCGGUUCUUUGUUCAUCUCCAAAUCCUGGAGGUGGGAGUCGGGAAGAGGACUGGGCCUGUCGCAGCAGCCCCAGUCUGAGCUCAAGAGAGCCGAACCUCGCGCCCCUGGGUUGGGGCUGGCGUGGGGAGCCCAGCCCAGAGCCAUUCUUCUCGCCCUCCUCGCCUCGCCUCUCUCCCGGCCAGGUGCGGCUGCGACGGAGCCGAGCGCCUCUGGAGCCCCAGAUCCUGUGGCUUCUUUGAAAGCUCCCCCUAAUUAGAAGCAGCGGUGAAAUCACCGGAGUGAUCUUAUCUGUCGUGGGAAAGCAAACCCCAACCCCAGAGCUCAGUUGUCCAGCGCGGAGCCACCAACGCCCUCCUUCUCCCUUUAAAAAGUUUUUAAUGGAACAGAUAAAGAGUUCAGAAGCCACAGGGGCUCGGGGGAGAGGCGGGCUGUGAAAAUGGGGGAAAGGGUGAGCCCCGUGAAAUCGCUUGUGUGCGUGAGUGUUUGUGCGUUGCGUGUGUGUGUGUGUGUGUGUGUGUGUGUGUGUGUAGGGUCUCUCUCCCUCUCUGCCUGCGGGGGAGGAGACUAAAUCUAGAAGAUAGAAAUGAAACAACCAUGAACGUCUUUACUCAUUGAGCAACCCUAGAUCUGGAAUCCAGCGCAGCAGUGGCUCCAGGGUGGCAGCCUCCAGUCCGACCCGUUAAGGCCCGCAGCGCCCCGGUCCUCGCGGCGGACGGAGCCUGGGUCCCACCCCGUGCGGCCAGGUGCCCCGGGCUCCGUCCCUGCUUCGGGCCCGCCCAUCCCCCACCCUGUACCGGGGCCGCAGAACCCAGACCCCUAAGUCCCGAGGCAGGGGCCGUGGGAUGCGCGCGUUGGAUGCCCCCGGACUCGAGUGCGAAACCCCACUCCCAGUCGCGUAGCGCCCAGAAGCCCGGUAGUCGGUCGGCUCCGACUCCCCAGCAAGGGACUGACCGGGAAAGCGGGUUGGGGCUGUUGGGAAAAGCUGGAGCUGAUGGCGAGAUUGCCGCGGCUAUAAAUCCAUCACUUUCCAGGUCAGCCUGGAGAGGUGCUGGGACUGGGGCUGGCGGAGCGAAUUCCUGGGCCAGCGCGCAUGCGUCGGCAGGUAUCAACCCAGCUCUUUAGGACCAGGUGAGAUGUUGGUGAGCAGGUAAAAAAGGAGGAUUUGCCAAAGCGAUUCCAGGGAGCGGGCCCGACCGAGCCCUCCAGCCCAUGCCCGGCGGGGACCCUUCUCCAGGAGCGCCGAGCCGCGAUGUCCAUACUUG
rnacentral:lncRNA from 1 species